GGGGAUUUAGCUCAGUGACACAGCACCUACCUUGCAAGCAGGUGGUCGUGAGUUCAAUCCUCA
rnacentral:tRNA from 1 species